GACAGAGGUCCCAAGCGUUAGGCGGAAUCACUGGGCUUAAAGCGUGUGUAGGCGGAUGUCUAAGUACCUUGUGAAAUCCCACGGCUCAACCGUGGAACUGCUUGGUAUACUGGAUGUCUUGAGCCAUCUAGGGGCUACUGGAACAAAUGGUGGAGCGGUGAAAUGCGUAGAUAUCAUUUGGAACGCCAAUGGUGAAAACAAGUAGCUGGGGAUGAUGCUGACGCUGGAGACACGAAAGCCAGGGGAGCAAACGGGG
rnacentral:rRNA from 1 species